AGAAUCAACGCUGGCGGCGUGCCUAACACAUGCAAGUCGAACGCGAAAGUGGAGCAAUCCAUGAGUAGAGUGGCAAACGGGUGAGUAACGCGUGGGCGACCUACCUCAGAGUGGGGGAUAACCUUCCGAAAGGAGGGCUAAUACCGCAUGACAUUCCGUCUUUAGAUAGACGGGUAUCAAAGCCGGGGAUCGCAAGACCUGGCGCUUGGAGAGGGGCCCGCGUCCGAUUAGCUAGUUGGUGAGGUAACGGCUCACCAAGGCUCCGAUCGGUA
rnacentral:rRNA from 1 species